GUGCUCGUUUCGGCUGCACGUAUACUAAAAUUGGAACGCUACAGAGAAGACUAGCAUGGCCCCUGCGAAAAGAGUGAGCUGGAAGAUAUUAUG
rnacentral:snRNA from 1 species